rnacentral:rRNA from 1 species
AUGCUUGUUGAGACAAGCAAGCAUGAACAAUAUCAUAUUGUUUACAAGUUUCUUAAGUUGGUAUUGAUUCUUCCAGUAGCUACUGCUAGUGUUGAAAGGGUAUUCUCUUCAAUGAGCUAUGUGAAGAAUAAGCUAAGAACAAAAUGGGUGAUGAUUAUUUGA